AGUGAACGCUGGCGGUAGGCCUAACACAUGCAAGUCGAACGGCAGCACAGUAAGAGCUUGCUCUUACGGGUGGCGAGUGGCGGACGGGUGAGGAAUACAUCGGAAUCUACUUUUUCGUGGGGGAUAACGUAGGGAAACUUACGCUAAUACCGCAUACGACCUACGGGUGAAAGCAGGGGAUCUUCGGACCUUGCGCGAUUGAAUGAGCCGAUGUCGGAUUAGCUAGUUGGCGGGGUAAAGGCCCACCAAGGCGACGAUCCGUAGCUGGUCUGAGAGGAUGGUUCGCCACACUGGAACUUGAACACGGUCCAGACUCCUACGGGAGGGAGCAGUGGGGAAUAUUGGGCAAUGGGCGGCAACCUGAUCCAACCAUACCGCGUGGGUGAAGAAGGCCUUCGGGUUGUAAAGCCCUUUUGUUGGGAAAGAAAAGCAGCAGGUUAAUACCCCGCUGUUCUGACGGUACCCAAAGAAUAAGCACCGGCUAACUUCGUG
rnacentral:rRNA from 1 species